UGCCCUUAUUCCCAACUAAGUCUAUGGCUCACUUUCCUCUUUUUUGUUAUGAUGUUUCAAGUUCUCAGCACGCAGGAUUUCAUAAAUACCCUUCAAUCACUCUCCUUGUAAGUUGAUUGUAAACACUUGGCUACAAAUAUUAUUUUUGGUUACCUCCACUAUUACCUUUCUUAAGAUGCAUCUGAAAUUCUCAACACCACUCAUCUUGGAUGUUAGAAAAGAUUGACAUCCCUAAGUAGUUUUUCCUUUCACAUCUCUCUUGUGGAAUUUACACUUUCAUAAAUCUCAUCUUUUGCCUUUCUCAAUUUAUAUCAAGUCUGUAAUCACAUAUCUCUCCCCACUCCUCAGAUCCCAUAGACCUUAUACACAACUAAACUGCAUGUUAAACAUCUAUGUGUGUCUCAUUCUCCCCUUGUUGACUUCUGUGAAGAGUCCUUCACAAAUAAUACAUUUCCCUGUCUGGAUUCAAUUUGUUUAUGGUAUCUCAACUGAGUAAAAUGUUGCUCCUUUCCAAGCCCAGUACAAGCCUCUUGACCCUUUGAUUUAGGUAUAAAUAUUACCUACUAUCAACUGAGUCCUGACGUGAUUUCAUUUAAUCUUCCCAACAGCCUUUGCACAGCAGAUCUCGAUAACCUUGUUUUACAAAUGGGUAUUUUCAGUAUGCAAAGAAUCACUUGGAGGAAAAGAGAUGAGUAGGGUCUGAAACCAAUACAGAAUUGGAAUUUGCGCAUUAAAGAGGGAUUCAGAAAUACUUCUCUGCCUGCUUCUGCCUCGUUCUUUCAUCGAACAGCUGAUAAAUGACAUCAAAAUAGAUGCUGCAAUUUUUAAAAGGAGGCUGCUCUCUUCCCAGACCAGACCUGAACCUAGUUGGGGCUUGUAAAGUGAAAAUACGUGAGACAUCAAGUCUGCAGACAAGUUCUCAUCAACUAUCUGGUUCCCCGAGUCUCAUGGUUCAUGUACUGAGCCUCCUCUGAAAACUCACAUAAAAAUACUGAUUCCUGGACCUCAGACAUGAUAAUUCAGUUGGACCGGGGUAUGGCCCAGAAACCUGCAUUUUAAACAAAUACCCUAAGUUAUUCUGAUAUAGAUGGUCCCCAAGCCACACUUGGAGAAAUAAUGCUCUGGUUAAGUCAUUUGCUCACAUGAUGAGAGGCCACAGUCUGUGCCAAAGUCCAUUCUUAUGGAUUCCACCAAAGGGCCAGUUUCCCCUUCACACCAGAGAAUGGUUCCCUCUCUCCUUCAUCUUUCAAAGGA
rnacentral:lncRNA from 1 species